GUUUAAAUAUCGUCGGCUAAAAUUUCUGGGUUUUGAAAAAAAAACUGCAGAAACUUUCGGCCACCUCCAAUCACGACCAAAAUUUGACAGAAUCUUCCUCUCAACAUUUCGAACAACUUUGUAGAAGAAGUCAAAACUCAAUUCUAAGCCUAAACAGGUCAAUCGACUGAAAAUAUAAAAAUCCCCAAUUUUAAACCCUAAAAGCUUCAAAUCUUCGAUUCUCUUCACACACACCGAAUCGAGCUACCAAAUUCUAGGGGAAUGUAGUACUAAUCAAACUCAACUUAUCCAUAUAUAGAACUCACCAAAUGGUGACCUAAGGAAUGAGAAAUUUGAUCGACACCGAAUCCGAACCGGCGGAGUUUUGGAGCUCGAUUUAUCCCUCACGGCGGCACCACUCGAUGCACCACCUAUCCAGCAAUGAAGUAGAGACGACGGCGAAGCUUUUGGGACAAGUGUGACGGUCUCCGGUGGCUUGACGGCGGAGCUAGGCCGAGAAGAAAAUCUGGCAGAUAAUAGACUUCUUACCAUCCAUCUUCGUCCUAUAUAAAGAACUUUAGCCGGUUAAAGAAUACGAAAAUAAAGAAUUUCGUCGGCUAAACUCUUUUGAAAAUUUUGGUUGACCGCCAAAAAAUUUUGGUUGAAAAUUUUGAAAAUUUUUCGACUUUAGCCGACGACUUUUCAUAUAUUUUCGUCGGCUAAAGUCCUUUGAAAAUUUUCCUCCAACUUUGGUUUACCGCCUAAAAAAUUUUGAAAUUUUUUGACCUUAGCCGACGACUUUUCAUAUAUUUUCGUCGGCUAAAGUCUAUAAAUUCACGAAAACGCUCAUAUCUCCCCCUAUAUUACGUAAUUUGGUCAAACCUUCCACACCAAAAACUCUCACGUAGAUGAGACGCAACUGCCCAUAUAAAAAUUUUGAGACAUUUACCUUCCGACGAUAGGGCUCUCCAUAAGGAAUAAUAACGGUAAAUAGGGUUGACCGCUACUAUCGGCUCCGAGACUUUACCCGAUUUACGUGAUUUUUGAACCAUAGCCGUAUUUCACCAUUUU
rnacentral:lncRNA from 1 species